AUAUUAAUAAGCGGAGGAAAAGAAAAUAACUAUGAUUCCCUGAGUAACUGCGAGUGAAACGGGAAAAGGGCAAUCUGAAUCGGGUCGUUUACAGCGGCUUGAAAUGUAGAUUAAUGACCGGUAAAUAAUGACUGAGGUAAUUAUGAACUCGCUUGGAAAGGCAGACGUCACAGGGUGAUAGUCCCGUAAAUGAUUACCGAGGCCAUUAAGUUACUGGCUCAAAGAGUCGGGUUAUUUGAUACUGUAACCCAAAGCGGGAGGUAAAUUUCUCCUAACCCUAAAUACACACUAAAGACCGAUAGCGAACAAGUACCGUGAGGGAAAGAUGCAAAGUACUUUGAAAAGAGAGUCAACAGAACCUGAAGUUGUUAAUGGGGAAGCGGUGUCACGACAUAGCAGCGGUAGAUGAGGUCGCGGUUAUGAUUGGAUAUUGGUGAUCUGGGCGUUGGGGGACUUUUAGUUCUCGACCAGGUUAUUUUAUGUUCGGUCAUGGCCGUUAUUCUUGUUUAUUCGCGGUCAGCGCCUACGGGCAGUAUCUAAAACGCCCUGGUGAUCGCGAAGUGGUACCUCGGUACCAUGGAGUUACCGGGACAACGUAGAUAUCC
rnacentral:rRNA from 1 species